AUUGUACUCCCUCCGUCCGAAAAUACUUGUCGAAAAAAUGGAUAAAAAUGGGUGUAUCUAGAACUAAAACAUGUCUAGAUACAUCCAUUUCUCCGACAAGUAUUUCCGGACGGAGGGAGUACGCA
rnacentral:pre_miRNA from 1 species